rnacentral:misc_RNA from 1 species
GCGGUCUCUCCGUCGCACCGAACACUUACAAGGACGUUGUGUGCGUCGUGUGAUAGAAACCGGUAACAACGGCGCGAUUAUCUUCCUCUCUUUUUCCUUAAAAAUUGCCGCUCGUGUUUUCUCGCUUUAUAACGUAAUAAUAUUGCAGUGUUCCUUCCCUCAUUUCUAUUAUUCUACCUCGUUUCCAUUAUUUUUGCGUCGUCUUUCGUGCCUCGAUUAUUGUGCAAGAAGAGGAGGAUUCCACUCUACGCCGAUUCUGGAAUCUUAUGAAACGAACUUCGUCCACAUUUUUCAGAUAAUUUUGCCUCGGGAGAUACCCGGCCACCUGCAUCAGAAACCGUUAUCUCGCGGUUAUCUAAUCGGCUCGGUAAUCGCAGUCGCGUUUUUUCCUUGGUUUUCUAAAAACCUGGGGAAGUUCAGGUUGUUAUAAACUUGUCGGUGAUCGACGAUUGAGCGAAAUGAAGACUGUGUUCGUCGGUAGUUUCUUGUACUCGCGUGUGCUGUGAGACGGUGACCGGUAAGAACUUGUAAGGUGUGCAAAGCCUGCCUCGAAAGAGGAGGAGGAAAUUAUCUCCACACUAGAGUCAUGUAGUUUAUCAGGAUUAUGAAAUUCCCCUGGUCUUCCAAGCGGCCUGCAGGGGCAGGUGAUGCACCGCCAACAAGGUUGUCGUAAGUUUUGCAAAGAAGGAGGCAAAAUAAGAAACUGGGACUGUUUCGAACGGAAAUUGAACAAGGAACUCCACCCGAAAUGCAACUCGCCGCCACCCCCAGGCCUCAUCCACCCCCCGUACCGCCUAGACCGAGUCGUCAGGUCGUAGCCGAGGCGCUUAAGAGGUCACCGAGGCCUCCGUGUCCGACUAGACAAGCGCCGCCGCCGCCGGAUACGAAGCCAUGGCGAGCCGGGAGGACCGUUGUUUACGAGUCCGCGACGUCGCCGACGUCGGUUAGGAGUGCGGAAGACGAUCGUCAGCAGCGAGAUGAACGGGCGGCGAACCCGCGGGACCAGAACCUCCAACGACUCGGAGGCGGCAAGGCAGUAACGCCUGCGACGAGUGAAAGGGGCGACGGGAAAUCGAGAGGAACGAUUCAGCAGCCUCUGAAACGACCCGCGCCUAUCCAUGUUGCGAGAACCGGGAACGGCGGCGGCAGCAGCAGCAGUGAGAGCGAGAAAAGCGCCGCGCCAAAGUUCAAAAACCAGAGGCACAUACAGGUCGUCAAUGGCGCGGUGGUCUUCGAAGCACAGAAUACGCAGGUCCGUGUACCGCGUUCGGAAUCGAAGGAAUCGAGGCCGGAGGAUGCGGACGAGGCUUUAAAGGAGUCCGCGGAGAUGGAUGCGGCUAAGAACGUUACCACUGUCGACGAUAAGCGCGAGGAAGUCGUUGAAGGACCACGGAGGUCUUCCUCGAGCACGAUAUCAAGCGGCGACGACUGCGCCACCGUUGUCGUCGUCGAUGAUCAGCCCGAAUCGAGACGCGUCGCCUUCGACGAUAGAGUCAAUAUUCAACACGAGGACUGGCUCGAGGCUGGGGUUAGAUAUUCGUCAACUAAGAUCACCCUCUCAGGCGACGAGGUCAACGACGAAGGGGUCGCUCUGACCGAAUCGACGGAGGAUAGGAUCAACGGGCUUGGCUACUUCGACGAGGACGAGGAGAUGAUGAUCACCGCCUUCGAUUUCACUAGCAUAAAAGAAAAAAUAGCCAUGUCGACUCUGCAAGGAUUGCCUCCCUUGCCGAGAAGCUUGAGCGGAUUCAACCUGAGCACCAACAGAGACGGAAACGAGCCGCCACCGCCACCCGCGAGGUCGUCCAGCAGGCCGCAACGCGGGGCAAGAACAUCCCCAGGAGUCGGGGGUCGACCAUCGCCACAGGGUCGACAACUGACCACCCUUGACACCCAGCUGGCAAAGCUUAGGAGAGAAAUGUUCGGCCUGCGUCAACUCGACCUCUCGCUGCUCUCCCAGCUUUGGUCGUUGAACGAGUCGAUCCAGGAGUUUCGACAACUUCUUCAAGAACAAGACGACCGAGCACCAUCCCCGUCGCCGAGCAGCGAAGAGGGCGACGAUACCUCUUACGGUAGCCAUCCACCGCCGCACCCCAGGAGGCCGCCCCCCGUCAGUCAUCACCACAGGGCGCCGAGACCCCCGCCGAGAAACGACUCACCCUCGAGCGAAGAGUACGGCGCCGUAUAAAUGAUGAUGACAAUAACAUAACGAUAACGAUAAUUAUAAUAAUGAUAAUAAUAAUAGUUAAAGAAUUAAAGACUUGCAAAGCAGAGAGAAAACGAAGGAAAACUUAUAUAUAUAUAUUAUAUAAACUAAAGACACGAACCACGUACGCGCUGUUAUCUUAUCGACGUUGCCCUUCGGAAACUUUCUUCCUUCUUUCCACAAAAAUAAUACGUAAUAAUAAUAAUUAUUGUUAUUUUUUAAUCACCCGUUGCACCGUUGUCAGGAAUAUAUUUGUACACGAUGACAAAUCGCGUGUGUGAGGAGAUGCGUGUGGCUCAAUUUUUUUAUUUUUUUUCGUCGUUUUUGUCUGUUGAUUGCGAGCGUUCGACACGGGGCGAAUUUUCCCUCGGAUGAAAAAUAUUUUACUUUUUUUUCAAAAUCGACAGAUAACGAUGCUGAUCUCAAUAUUAAAAUACAAAAUUACGAGCAGCGUACAUUCUCGGAUAUUUAUCGCGCGAGAUGAGGAAGAUGAUGCACAUGCGGGACGAUCAAAGCGUCGUUUUUAUUUAUUUUUAUUUAUUUUUUUUUUUUUUUUAUCUUCAAUUUCAAACCAUCCGCUUUUGCCGAACAAGAGUAUUGAAUAUAAUGAGCUAGGAAGAACGUGUACGUCGCGCGAAAUUUGUACCGUUUUGAUAUUCGUGAGAGUACGCAAUAAGACCGUGGAGUCCGGUAAGUUUAAUACGCUCCGUGAAUUUUUAACCGUAGGUAUUUUACGGGUGUAUUUUCGUCGGUUUAUUUACGUAUUCGCAUCACGACCGUCAGGUGAGGAGGUACAUAUCAUACCUACUCUUCGGUCAUUCGGCGCGAUGUAAAUUUUCCUCGCUUACUUUUUUCGGCAACGUGAAUGCUCGCUCUUUAUUUCCUUGAAAAAAAAAAACAACGACGCGUUUGUUUGUCCCGGCUCAAUCACUAGUGAGACUAAUUCGACACGGCUUUAUAAGUAAAUGUCUUUUUCAUUGCAACAAUGAGUACACAAUACGGCGUAUUUAUUUACAAAACAGUUACGAUUCCGAGUAAACUAAAAAAAUCCAAUUCACAAACGUCGCACGGAUGAAGAAUUAUCAUCCGCUUUAAUUUGUACCCAUUGUUGCAGUUUAACACCACGGAUACGGUAUUGUAAAAUAUUUUUAAUUUCAUAUGAUUGUUUCGUAGCGAUUCUUUAAAUCGAAUAUAUUGUACAAUUGUAUUUUCAUUUAUUAAUUACUCUCCUAAACUGAUUUUUCAAUCCAAAUCCAAAUUUUGAGGUUCUCAGUGCUCGCACUAAUCCUGAAUCUGACAAUGAAAACAUGCAAUAAUCUUUGCUGCACCAUGCUUAUUGAUUUUUAAUUAUCUUCGAUGAAACCAUUUGACAUUCCCUGCAUCGAUGAACCUAAAAAGUGAUCAAAUUUACAAUAUAUAAUAUAACAUCGUAAUCAUCGCUCCAAGUAAUCGCAUAAUAAUCCCUCACGGUGCUCUCGAGGAUUACGUAUAAUAAAGCUGAUUCCUGAUAACGUACACUAAUAGUAAUGAUGAUAUACCGCAGUGUAUAAUAUAUAAACCGACCUAACUUAAAUUAAAUUAUAACUCAACGAUAUAUAUAUUUCUUGGAUAAUCUUUUAUACGAUACUUGAUUUGUUACAUAAAAUAAUAUCGUAUAGUACGUACACGAUGUUUUAAUAAUAAGUAGUAACUUGUAUGCACGGUACCGUGAAAAACAAGAAGAAUAACAAGGAUAAACAAAAACAACAAGGAUGACAAACCAUGCGAUAUUUAAAUAAAACACACACGCUGAACGUAAAGUGGAGUCCCAGUGUCGAGAUACGGCCGUGUGCGAUGAUCCGCGCACAUACACCUAUACACGCAUAUAUAAGUGCCCAUAUUAUAUGACCUUUCACAAAUACCGUUGUUCCAUUUCGAGAGACUGGGCAGUGCGUAUAACGUAUCGUACCUACGCGCCUGCCUCUUGUUGUGCGUGUAUACGCGGUGAGUUGCGAGCCCGGUUCUCUCCGCUCGGCGUGGGUACGAGGGCCGAGAACCGUACGUAGUAAAACGGGCCCGAUGGAAGGGCGCGGGCCCCGAGGAAGCGGGGCUAAAGACUGAGACGGAGAGAAGGGAGACUUCGAUGCCGCUCUCGGUGGCUGCGUGGACCGAGGCUGCCUCCUUGCCUCCAACCGUAGCGAGAGAACGGAUCUAAGAGAUGUUUUUUGUGCCCCGCUACGCCCCACCUCUCACAUCUUGCCCCCACGCUCACUUUUCAUUCGAGGAAAACGUAUGCGCAACGAGUCUUCAACAAUUUUAUACACG